rnacentral:rRNA from 1 species
ACGGAGGGUGCGAGCGUUGUCCGGAAUCACUGGGCGUAAAGGGCGCGUAGGCGGCUUUUUAAGCGUGCGGUGAAAGCCCGGGGCUCAACCCCGGAACUGCAUCCGAUACUGCCUUGCUUGAGGGUUGGAGAGGUAGCUGGAAUUCUCGGUGUAGCAGUGAAAUGCGUGGAUAUCGAGAGGAACACUCGUGGCGAAGGCGAGCUACUGGACAACAUCUGACGCUGAGGCUCGAAGGCUAGGGGAGCAAAAGGGA